rnacentral:rRNA from 1 species
CAGCAGCCACGGGAAUUCGGAGGGUGCAAGCGUUAUCCGGAUUUAUUGGGUUUAAAGGGUCCGUAGGCGGAUCUGUAAGUCAGUGGUGAAAUCUCACAGCUUAACUGUGAAACUGCCAUUGAUACUGCAGGUCUUGAGUAAAUUUGAAGUGGCUGGAAUAAGUAGUGUAGCGGUGAAAUGCAUAGAUAUUACUUAGAACACCAAUUGCGAAGGCAGGUCACUAAGAUUUAACUGACGCUGAUGGACGAAAGCGUGGGGAGCGAACAGGAUUAGAUACCCCAGUAGUCCCUGUCUCUUAUAC